rnacentral:snRNA from 1 species
AUUGGUCCGUAAAUUACCCAUU